CACAAACAUGGGGAAGUGCUUCAACACACUGUCUGUUUUGCAACAUGGAAAGAAAUGUAUUGCUAAAUGUUUUCCCCCCAACUCUGGCAACUUAGUGAAUUCUCAGAAUUGCCAAAUCUCUUGCAUUUUUCUGGCAGGCAGCAGAACCACCAGGACGCCUCCUGCUGGCCUGAGGGGCCGUUUGAACCGGCUCUGACCAGUCAGACUCUGACCAGUCAGUUUGAUGGACAUCUUGCAUCAGGUGCCAGUCUAACAGGACCACUAACCUUACUCCACUGCUGCAGCUGAGCAGUCGGUGUGUAAAAUAAACCUGGAGUCUGAACACCUGCUGCAAUCUACAGCAACCAAACCACGAAAUCAAACCUUAAAGACAACUGUGGGACAGACCAUGGUUCUUUGUGGUUCUCAAGUUCUGCCCAAACAUUAUGAGGAGUUGUCCAUCAGAACUGCUGCUCAGUACCAGGGUGACCGGACAGUGCUGAUGAGUGGAAUAAGAUACAGAGGAAGCAGCAUGGGCAGCUGCUACUGUCAAUCAUUAUGGUAAAGUGGAGCUCCUGUAUAUGCAGCAAAAACAUAUCCGUCCCUGGGUGGGCUUGAACCACCAACCUUUCGGUUAACAGCCGAACGCGCUAACCGAUUGCGCCACAGAGACUUGUACAGGGGUGUGUACAGCUUCUGUUAUCAGACACUUGAACCCAGUCUUUUCUCACCCUCUGUCUCUGGAGUCACCUCUGACACUCAUGUCUGUGCCGUCUCUGUGUUAUCUUAAUAAUGUCUCCGCUGUCUUAUUGCACCAUUGAAAUGUCUUAUUUGUUUGGAAACCGAGGACUGUGUGACAUGCGUCACUGUCAGCUGCCCCAAAACUGCUCCCUGCACCAAAGUCCAAGAGCAACUCAACCACCAGAAUCUGUCAGAUGUCCUGUUUAAAUCCCUAAUGUUUAAAACCCCUCCUUCAGAUAAGCUGCCCCUGAGUCUUCAGCCUGACCAUCUCUGCCUUCAUUGGCCAGGAGCUUCUAUUGUAACAUUAAGAGUUUGACAUUUAUACCAUUUUAAUAGUUCCUAAGAACCUAAACUGGUUCAGAUGCACUCUUCCCAAGACUAUCUUUACACUGGCAUAAGUGGGCAAAGGUGUUUUUUUUUAAAUUAUUUUUGCCCAUGUGUGGCUAACAAGUCCUAAAUCCAACAGGUAUCAGAUUAUUCAAACAACCUCAGUCUGAGCAGCAAUGUUACAUUUAAUUUCUUUUGUUUAUUUCUUUGAUAUGUUGAUGACAACCAGAAAUUUCUAGAAGUCAGAGGUUCCAUUACAUAGGUUCAAAUACGUUGAUUGCUUUAAACAUGUCUACAUAUCUGGGUCACUUAUAAUAAGUAGCCUUCCUGUUUAAGUUUUAACAUUGAAUUGAAUUCAAUGCAUUUUUUUAUUUUAAAAAUAACAAGACUUUCUCUUCUUCCUCUUUUUUUGCAAUAUUCAGGUUUUAAAAUGUAAAAAGAUAAAUUAACAAUUUCCAGUCAGGCAGGUCACCACCUACUCUAGAAGAUGAUUAGCCUUAAUUUACUUAACUGUUAAAUGCACUUAUUGAUUAGACUGUGGGAUGUUGUUGUUUGUCCACAUAAUUAUCAUCUGUCUCUGCUGCUGCUGAACGUGUCUAGAGAAGUAGAGAAGUAGAGAAGUACAGGCCUGUCUAGAAAGGUCCGUCCCACGUUCACAUGAAAAAAAAAAAAAAAACAAGUGAAUGAAUUAAACAUGACUCAGUAAUUGACUGUACAUUAUAAAACAGCAGGAGACGAGGAGGCAGAGGAAGACGGAGAGAGCCGCAGAAAGACUCCAGGGACUAAUGAGCUAACUGCAGCCUCUUCUCCCUCAUGUGACUGCUGUAAUUGGGUCAGUCGGCAGCACACUGUGAUGACGCUGAGAGACGUCUGAGCAGCUGCACUGGACGGCCCUAAUCAUAAUAUAGGCCGCCACAGCAGCAGCAGCAGCAGCAGUGGCAGCAGCAUAACCCAGAGAUCUUCUACUAAGUCUAUGGUUGGAGGCAGAGGAGGAACAAAUUAGUACCACUCAGUUUCUUCUGUUUCUUCUUAUCAUUAACCUUCAAACAUUUACAUUGUCGUCCUGUUGUUUUGGGUGAGACAGUUGUGUCCAAGUUUUAGUCUCUGUUGCAUUUCAUAAUGUUUUUUUUUUUUAUUCUUAAAAUCAUUAGUACGCAGUGGCUGUAAUGGGAGUAAUAAUAUCCUGCAUUUUAGUAAAAUAACAAAACAAAAUAAAGCUAAUAAUUUUCUCGAUAUGGAUCAAAGAGAAAUGCCAAUAUAGAAAAUCAUUUUAUUUACAUUUUAGGACAACUUUCUUUUUACAGCAAUGCAUUCAGAAGUGCUUGAA